UUCCACUUUGAUCCGUCACGUUGGCAAAGGUUUUGGUUGACGUCCGUACAUAGAAGGAAGAGAGAGAGUGAACCGAGAGAGAUGAGAGGGUACGAGAGAGAGAAGAGAGAGAGUGUGUAUGUGUGUGGCCUAGGAUUGGUCAACUACCAAAAAUACCAUGACUUAAUCCUAAUUGGUUCCAAACAAGUAGGAUUUAAGAAUAUUGACCCAAAACUACACUUAAACCAUAUUACACAACUAACGUCCAAGGGUAUUUUCGUCAAUUCACGUCGUCGAUAAAUAUAUAUUUGGGACGGGCUGUGACAUGAAUGCUUAAAAUAUACUACGAAAUCUUUCCAAUUCCCUCUAAUUCCUCAACUUUCUCAAAAUCUUUAAAAUCAAUUUAUAAUUGAAUACUCCUAGAAUGUUAUAAACUUCUUUAAAAUCCUAAUUGAAUACACCCGGAUUUCUAUGGAUUUUAAUAAACUAUCUUAAAAUUCUAAUUGAAUACACCUUGAAUUUUAGAGAACCACUGAAAAUCCUGAUUGAAUACCUCUAAUUUCAAUUGAAUACACCCCAUUAAGGCUUGCGGAUUUAAAAGAUUAUUUGCAAUCGUUAAUUAAAACAAUAACAUUAUGUUUGGAUGAAGAAAUUUAAGAUUACUAAGAAAUUUUAAAAUGAUGGAAGUUGAAAUGAUGAGAUUUUAUUUUCUAGAAUUUGUGAAUUUUCUUGUUUGGGUAACCUAAAAAAUAAUGGGAUUGAAUAUGGAAUUUGUUAUUUUUAAACUCUCAAUCAUAAAAAUUGGGAAAUGACAUCUAUUUACAUGAAAUUUAAACUUGGGAAUUUGAGGUCCAAAAUUCCAAGUUUUUUGUCUACGCGGAAAUUCUAAAUUUCUAUAUUUAUGAAUCCAAACAAGAGAAUUAGUGCAUGUUAAUUUAUAAAUUUGGACUUUAAUCCAAAUUCUAAGUAUAUUUCCCUCAUCCAAACAUAGUGUAAAGGAAUGGAUAUAACGAGCCAGUCUAAACCCUAAAAUAAAACGAUUUACGAAAGAGGAAAUAUGGCAUGAGCUGAUGAACAUGUUAGAGAGAGAACAUAUGAAUUUAUUAAUUAAUACGAGCUGAAAAAUACAAAUACCAUGUAUUCAGACUCGAG
rnacentral:lncRNA from 1 species